CCUAGGGGUGCUGCAGUGAGGAAUAUUGCACAAUGGGGGGAACCCUGAUGCAGCAACGCCGCGUGGAGGAUGACGCAUUUCGGUGUGUAAACUCCUUUUAUAUGUCAAGAAAAUGACGGUAGCAUAUGAAUAAGCACCGGCUAACUCCGUGCCAGCAGCCGCGGUAAUACGGAGGGUGCAAGCGUUACUCGGAAUCACUGGGCGUAAAGGACGCGUAGGCGGGUUGGAAAGUCAGGUGUGAAAACCUACAGCUUAACUGUAGAACUGCACUUGAAACUUCUAAUCUAGAGUAUGGGAGGGGGAGAUGGAAUUAGUGGUGUAGGGGUAAAAUCCGUAGAUAUCACUAGGAAUACCUAAAGCGAAGGCGAUCUCCUGGAACAUUACUGACGCUAAGGCGUGAAAGCGUGGGGAGCAAACAGGAUUAGAUACCCGGGUAGUC
rnacentral:rRNA from 1 species